ACCUACAACAAAUCAUUUUAUUACAGAAAAAUGUUUAAAUUCAUGUUAAUAGUUGUGUCCAAAUUCAGAGCAUUUUCAUAUGUGCAAAGUCUCUCAGGAAAGAGUUCACUUACGUUGAGCUUCAAAAGGGAGAGAGAAUCAAAGCCUGAGAAGAAGAAAAAGUUUAUUUGAGCAGUAAAAAUAUAGGGACCUCUGUUACUCUGGAAGUAGAAAAGAGGAAUGAAUGCUUUAUGAAUGAUAUGGGUUUAAAAGUUGGGAAGGAAGGAAUCUGAGAAGCUCAGAUUUCUUUUUCUUGCAGCAGCUUAAAGCACACUCAGCUUGUAGAGUAGUAUGAAACCUCCCUGCAUGCAUUUACGUAUUUCCUCCCCUUCCCUUUAUAGGCACAUAUAUAGACACACACACAGCUCAUUAAUUCCUUUAAUUAAGAGAAAUGGAUUUUGUCUUCUAUUAAGUACUUGCUUUGUUAUACUCAAUAUGGCACCAUAAUCUUUGAUCUUCCUUUAAUAUAUUUCUUUGGAAAUUUCACAACUAAGUUAAUAUCGAGACUGCUUCUUAUGGAUAUUAAAAUAACUUCCUAAACCUAGGUUCUGAUAUACGUUUUUAAAUGAUCACAAUACAGUUUGCUGUAAUGCAUGUCAGAGCAGUUUGGUCUAGAAUUGUCUUGUGACAGCAAUUAUAGCAAGAUCUAAUUCAAGCUCCACAAAUCGAGAAUUGUGAUAAUUUGUAUUAAUAAUAGAGGUAAGAAUGAAUUUCACUAUUUAAAAGAUUAGAAUUUAGGUAAAUUUAUAGCAUAUGUAAGAUUUUAUAGAAAUAUUUACCUAAGGGGUAGUUAUUUUAACUGUCUAUGUACAGCAGUAUAAGUGAAGGCCACUCUGAUGUGCUGGUUUCAUAUGGGAGAAACUAUAAUUAACCGAAUGCAUAAUAUAUAGCCAGCAAGACAGUUUAUAUACAGUGUCAUUUGGUCCUUAGAAGAAUUCUUUGAAAUAGAUGAUUUUCAUCUCCGUCUUAUAAGUAUGAAAGCUGAAGUUCUAAGUUCAGUAACUCAUCUAAGGUCACUUAGUAAGCUGCAGAGGCAGGAUUUGAACACUGCUUGAUCUGAUUACUCAGUCCAUAAACAUUUCAUGUAUCACACAACUUCCAUUCUUGUCCAUUUAUUGAAGUUGCCUUUUUAUCUGCAACACUCCUCUUUACCUUGUAUACUUUAAAGUGAUUAAAA
rnacentral:lncRNA from 10 species